GCGCACUUGGCUCAGCGGUAGAGCACCGCCUUCACACGGCGGGGGUCACUGGUUCGAAUCCAGUAGUGCGCACCA
rnacentral:tRNA from 1 species